GUGAGGAAUAUUGCGCAAUGGAGGCAACUCUGACGCAGCCAUGCCGCGUGCAGGAAGAAGGCGCUACGCGUUGUAAACUGCUUUUAACCGGGAAGAAACCCCAGGACGUGUCCUGGGUUGACGGUACCGGAGGAAUAAGCACCGGCUAACUUCGUUCCAGCAGCCGCGGUAAUACGAAGGGUGCAAGCGUUAUCCGGAUUCAUUGGGUUUAAAGGGUGCGUAGGCGGAGCGUUAAGUCAGUGGUGAAAUGCUGCAGCUUAACUGUAGACUUGCCAUUGAUACUGGCGCUCUUGAGUGCGCUUGAAGUGGGCGGAAUGUGCCGUGUAGCGGUGAAAUGCUUAGAUAUGGCACAGAACACCAAUUGCGAAGGCAGCUCACUAAGGCGAUACUGACGCUGAGGCACGAAAGCGUGGGGAUCGAACAGGAUUAGAUACCCUAGUAGUCC
rnacentral:rRNA from 1 species